rnacentral:rRNA from 1 species
UACGGGGGGGGCAAGCGUUGUUCGGAAUUACUGGGCGUAAAGGGCGCGUAGGUGGCCAUCUAAGUCAGACGUGAAAUCCCUCGGCUUAACCGGGGAACUGCGUCUGAUACUGGAUGGCUUGAGUGUGGGAGAGGGAUGCGGAAUUCCAGGUGUAGCGGUGAAAUGCGUAGAUAUCUGGAGGAACACCGGUGGCGAAGGCGGCAUCCUGGACCAUUACUGACACUGAAAAGCGAAAGCCAGGGGAGCAAACGGG